rnacentral:tRNA from 1 species
GCACUGGUGGUUCUGUGGCAGAAUCCUUGCCUUCCAUGGAGAAGACCAGGGUCUGAUUCCCAGCCAGUGCA